rnacentral:tRNA from 1 species
AUUUAAAUAGCUUAAUUUAGAGUUUGAUAUUGAAGUUAUCAAGGUGAUAUUAUUAUCUUUAAAUA